AGUGGGGGAUAACGUAGCGAAAGUUACGCUAAUACCGCAUAUGCCCUGAGGGGGAAAGGAGGGGAUCGUAAGACCCUUCGCUUUCGGAGUGGCCGAUAUCAGAUUAGCUAGUUGGUGGGGUAAAGGCCUACCAAGGCGACGAUCUGUAGCGGGUCUGAGAGGAUGAUCCGCCACACUGGGACUGAGACGCGGCCCAGACUCCUACGGGAGGCAGCAGUGGGGAAUUUUGGACAAUGGGGGCAACCCUGAUCCAGCCAUGCCGCGUGAGUGAAGAAGGCCUUCGGGUUGUAAAGCUCUUUCGGACGGAAAGAAAUCCUAUUCGCUAAUACCGGGUGGGGAUGACGGUACCGUAAGAAGAAGCACCGGCUAACUACGUGCCAGCAGCCGCGGUAAUACGUAGGGUGCGAGCGUUAAUCGGAAUUACUGGGCGUAAAGCGUGCGCAGGCGGUUUUGUAAGACAGAUGUGAAAUCCCCGGGCUUAACCUGGGAACUGCAUUUGUGACUGCAAGGCUAGAGUGCGGCAGAGGGGGGUAGAAUUCCA
rnacentral:rRNA from 1 species